UGUUAUAUGCACAUGGUUAAUGCUUUAAACAAAGCUCUAACUCUAAGCAUUAAACGUAACUCAUGCUGCUCUCUUUGUGCUACAGACAUGCUUCAUACGGCUUGUUGAGUAGAGGAGAACACAUUAUCAACACACAAGUAUCACUUAUGUUUCCUUUACACUCUCUAUUUGUCAUAAACACACAGAUGCGAGCGAUGACAGACACGCGCUCAUGAGGAGAGCGGAUGUUGGCACAGACAGGCUCUCGCAGCAGAUUGUUCCUCUCAGAGGCUGUCGAGGGGUGUGAGGGUGAGGGCUGUGCUGCACGGGUCUUUAUCAGUUUCAGUACUGUGGUUUUCCUUACUCAUUAUUAAACAAGUAGCACACAUCAUAGUAUCUGUGUGUAUGUUGUUUUGUAGGAGAACCAUCAAUUACAAGAUCAAAUGAGUUCCUGUUGAAUGCAUAUGGAAUGAAAGCAUUUUUUUUUUUUGUAUCAAAAACAGCUCUGUGUUCCAUGGAAAUAAAAACAGCAUUUGGAUUUGGAGCAAUACUGUAUGUAGGUUUAAUACUUGAGGUCCCUCUGGGCUGCUGGCAGAUCUGAAUCCAAACAGGACAGGUAUGUAGUUCAUCACAUGUCCAAGCCAGAGAAUAGUGUAGUUUUUGUUGAAAAUACCCGACAGAAGAGAAGCUGCAUGCAUUUCUUUGACCUGCUUUAGAAACAGAACUUCUGUUCUGUAAUUGCUGUUUUUGGAUAUCAAAAGCUCAAUUAAAUUACACUAGGUUCUGGUUCUUGUUCUGUCACCUUUAUGUUGAUUGUCAGACACUUUUAUAGAGGGAGAUGUAUUGUUGAGUCUUAUGAAAAUGUUAUGACCUGCUGGGAGAACAAAAGAGAGAUUCCCCAUUACUAAAACACAAUUUUGCAUUCUAGAUAAAUUUUUUAGCAAAUAACAACUUAAAUUUUUUUGGUGUCUUUUUUUUUUCUACAACAAGCUGUCCUAUGGAUUCAGAAGACUUGGAUUGUAGAGUUUUUUUAGACAGGUGUUGUCGCAUAGCUGAUUUUAUAUCAUAAAGAGCUCUCUGCCAAAUGGGAAUAAAAACACCAUUUGGUAACAUCAUGAGUACAAAUAACAGAUUCUUAAGAAAAUAAUACUGAGAAAUGAAUUCUCUGGCCCUCAGGUCAAUCUCUCUUAAACCUGCAAUAAAGUGAAUCUCAUAACAUGUCUAGGUCUCAGUUUACACUAAAACAAAAGGAAAAAAAUGCUGAAAGAAAUGAAGCUUUAGGACAGUUGAGAUUUUUUUUGUACAUUAAGAAUAUUUAACCCCAAUUCUCAUGACUGUAAUGCAUCCAGAUGUUUAUUUAUGAUUCAUGAUUGUCAUAAGUGUAAUCAUGAUAUUAUUUUAAGUAUUAAAUGGGACAAUAGAAUUGCAAUGUAGUAGUCAA